rnacentral:lncRNA from 1 species
GGGAAAUUGAAAUGAGAGCACGGGAGAGAGGAAAAACUACCUCAUGUUUCAGGAUUCACAAGAGACGUCAUCUGCCCUGGUGGAAACAGCACGUUGGUCAGUCAUCAGUAACCCACGGAGCCAUGAGCGUCUGGCAUCAGAGCAUUUUUAACUUAUGAAGGUGAAUUUCAUCGAAGAGGUGACUGGGGUGAUAACCCAAAUAUGUAAAGUCCGUAUGCUAAACGCGAUGGCAGGAAACCAGAAACCGGGGUCAGGAUAAACAGAAGAACCUCAGGCUACUCUAAGCAGAAGGAAUGUAUGAUAAUGGGACAAAGCACUGACUACAGGCUAAGUUGCAACCAAGUUGCUGUCUGGGGAAAGUUAUCAAGAGGCUCCAGCCAGAACAGUAGAAGACACCAUGGAGUGAUGCUUUUGGGGAGCUGUUCCAAAAUGAAGGAGGAUGUUCAAGAUGAGGGCUGUUUGCUUCGCAUCUAUCUGGGCCUGCCCUGAUCACAUUUGGAGUUUACAGUACAGGAUUUGUUUUGCAUCCUGUUCCUCGUCCUUGGAGAGAACUCCCUUUGAUGACAGUGCCAGCAACUAAUUGUGAGUGGAACCAAUUGUAUGGGAGGAUAAAGUCCAUGGAGGCCAGAGGUCCACAGCGUCCUGAAGAGAAGGGAGGUGCCACAAGAGGAUGUGAUUCCAGGGAACA